GGAGAGUUGGCAGAGUGGUCGAAUGCGGUAGUCUUGAAAACUAUUGUGCCGUAAGGUACCGGGGGUUCGAAUCCCUCACUCUCCGCCA
rnacentral:tRNA from 1 species